ACAGGUGAAACGGUAAUUGACAUCUGUCACCUAGCAACAGCUUCACGCUAAACAGAAGCUGGUAUUUUCACGAUUGGUAGAAGUCGCUUAUUAUUUUGUUUUGUAGAAAACAUUUGUUAAAAUGUUUAUUGAUAUUAUUUAUCAUGUUAAGGUGUGUUAGUUUUUAAAUAAUAAUAAAGUAAAUAAAGAGACUGAGCCAUACUCGAAAGACGCGUUCGACCCUUUACCUAUCGAGAGAAAACCAGCAGCGUCAGCGGUUGUCGUGCUCAGCUUUCCUGAAGGAGAAGUGCUCGCAGAAGCUUGUGAGGCCAUCCACAAACUCUCAGAAAAAGGUGAUCUGAAUAAGACUUCUUUGAUGUGCUUGGGAGCGAAUGAAACUUUUCUCGUCUCAUAUCGCAGGAAUGCUGUCAUGUCUCUGGGCAUCAUGGUCUCUAACAAUGAAGUUAAAAAAUGUUUGAAGACACUGAAUGUGAUACCUGCAAUAAUCAGCAAACUAUCACCUGAAGAACUGGCUAUUAAAACCAUUCAUUGACACUGGACGGCUAACAGCGGAACAGCGGGUCUACGACAUGAAAAUCUCCAGAGCACGUGUAGUGGUUGAAAAUGCUUUUGGUAGAUUAAAAGGAAGAUGGCGUUGCCUUAUGAAAAGAAAUGACUGUGCGGUCGACAAUCUAUUCUCAUACAAGAGAAUGAGAUGCUAUAUAUGAUGCAGAGGGUGACAAGCUCCUGGUGCGACAGCUGCGAGACAGCUGCAAGGGAGGAGUUGUGUAUGCAGCACCAGUCUUGAUGAACAUCACUGGCCUGUGAUGCAGACUGCUCUGUGAUGCAGACUGCUCUGCUCAAAAGUGCUCUGCUCAAAAGAGUCAAUUUCAAAGCUGAUGAACUGCUCAAAUCUAUGAAUGCUGAAAUCCGAAGAAAUGCUUCCUGGGCAAUUCAUGUGUGUGCAAAUGAUGAAAUAAAAGCUCUAGAAUUGCGUUAUGCCAGAUAAGAAAGGGUCAUCGGGUUCCUACCUUGGAGGAAAUAUCCAAACAAGUUGUCAACCAACAUCGAGCCACUAUUGCAGUUAAUGGGAAACCCCCAGAUCAGUAAGGCAAAGGGAUAUGCUUUGGCAUUCAAAUGACUACCACAUGAAUCUUGCUCAAACAUUGUUUAAAACAGCUUCACAAAUAGUGGUUUCCUCACUGCUUAGUCAUUGUAGGGGCACAUUUAAUAAACAACUCUUUCUUUCCACAUCAGAGAGAAAACAAGCUCUUUGUAGAAAAUAAAGACUUCCAGAGUCUGCCCUCUUCCACACUAUAAUUCUACAUUAGCACACUUGAAUAUUAAAUACCUCUAUUGCACAAUAGACUGAUGUAGACAGAUGAAUUUCCCCCAGGGAAAUUCUUUUGCAUGGCUCGGGAGCUCCCACAGGAGAAAUGGGCCGCUUUCUGCCACUGAGGUCCAAGCAACACAAUUUAUGCUCAGGUCAAGUUAAUUACAUGUACAGAUUCUAAAUUACAAACAGAACAUUACUUGACCACUUUAAAUGCUUGUUUUUGUGUUAGUUCUGAUGCACUAAUCUUGGGGUUUGUGGAUUCUGUUCUACCAUCCAAAUGAGUGAAAUGCCAAGUGAGCACAAAAGUAAUUAGAUCCACAGCUCUAGGAAAAGUAGUUUGACGGUUUUGAAUAGUGAAUUUAAACAGUGGGAGAAAUGUAGCUUUACAUCACUUGCACAAGUGGAUUCUCUGCAGUGAAUGGGUGCAGUCAGAAUGAA